AGCAUUUUGGCGCAGUAGGAAGCGCGUAGGGCCCAUAACCCUAAGGUCGCUUGAUCGAAACAAGCAAAUGCUA